rnacentral:rRNA from 1 species
GACGAACGCUGGCGGUGUGCUUAACACAUGCAAGUCGAACGGUAAGGCCCUUUCUGGGGUACACGAGUGGCGAACGGGUGGGUAACACGUGAGUAACCUGCCCUCAUCUCUGGGAUAACAGUCGGAAACGGUUGCUAAUACUGGAUAUGAGCCUGCACGGCAUCUUGUGGGUUGGAAAGAUUUUUUGGUUGGGGAUGGACUCGCGGCCUAUCAGCUUGUUGGUGAGGUAGUGGCUCACCAAGGCUUCGACGGGUAGCCGGACUGAGAGGGCGACCGGCCACAUUGGGACUGAGAUACGGCCCAAACUCCUACGGGAGGCAGAAGUGGGGAAUAUUGCACAAUGGACGGAAGUCUGAUGCAGCAACGCCGCGUGCGGGAUGACGGCCUUCGGGUUGUAAACCGCUUUCAAUUGUGACGAAGCUGUUUGUGACGGUAGCAGUAGAAGAAGCACCGGCUAACUACGUG